GGGUGAAAAUCGACUAAUGAUGU
rnacentral:siRNA from 1 species